rnacentral:misc_RNA from 1 species
AAAGUCGUAACAAGGUUUCCGUAGGUGAACCUGCGGAAGGAUCAUUAAAGAUUUUAACAGUUGCUUAACGCAAUCGGAUGUAGGGAGGAGCUUUGCCGUUGCGGCGUCGCUCCUCCGUACAUUUUCAUCUAUCCAUAACACCUGUGCACUGUUGGAUGCUUGCAUCCACUUUUAAACUAAACAUUGAUGUAACAAAUGUAGUCUUAUUAUAACAUAAUAAAACUUUUAACAACGGAUCUCUUGGCUCUC